GACGAACGCUGGCGGCGUGCCUAAUACAUGCAAGUAGAACGCUGAAGAGAGGGCCUGCUUUUUUUGGAUGAGUUGCGAACGGGUGAGUUAAGCGUAGGUAACCUGCCUUGUAGCGGGGGGUAACUAUUGGAAACGAUAGCUAAUACCGCAUUACAAUGGAUGACACCUUUCAUUUAUUUUAAAGGGGCCAUUGUUCCACUACAAAAUGGACCUGCGUUGUAUUAGCUAGUAGGUGAGGUAAUGGCCCACCUAGGCGACGAUACAUAGCCGACCUGAGAGGGUGAUCGGCCACACUGGGACUGAGACACGGCCCAGACUCCUACGGGAGGCAGCAGUAGGGAAUCUUCGGCAAUGGGGGCAACCCUGACCGAGCAACGCCGCGUGAGUGAAGAAGGUUUUCGGAUCGUAAAGCUCUGUUGUAAGUCAAGAACGGGUGUGAGAGUGGAAAGUUCACACUGUGACGGUAGCUUACCAGAAAGGGACGGCUAACUACGUG
rnacentral:rRNA from 1 species